CAAAACAGAGAUAAGUUAGGAUAAUCUUCCGUCGAGAUGAUAAAAGCGAGAUUAAAGCAAAUUCCUGGGGCAAUACAAAAAUCCCGCCGGAAGAAGGAAACAGACAGACAAAUUCGAAAGAAAAAUCCCUUUGCUCCAACAAAAUGCCUGGGACUGGUAAGGAGGUGAUGUUAAUAUAUAUCCGAAAGUUUGUAUUUUGCAGGACAGGGGAGCCGAAUUCUC
rnacentral:lncRNA from 1 species